rnacentral:rRNA from 1 species
AUUGAACGCUGGCGGCAUGCCUUACACAUGCAAGUCGAACGACAGCAUGGGUGCUUGCACCUGAUGGCGAGUGGCGAACGGGUGAGUAAUGCAUCGGAACGUACCCGGAAGUGGGGGAUAACGUAGCGAAAGUUACGCUAAUACCGCAUAUUCUGUGAGCAGGAAAGUGGGGGAUCGCAAGACCUCGCGCUUCCGGAGCGGCCGAUGUCGGAUUAGCUAGUUGGCGGGGUAAAGGCCCACCAAGGCAACGAUCCGUAGCGGGUCUGAGAGGAUGAUCCGCCACACUGGGACUGAGACACGGCCCAGACUCCUACGGGAGGCAGCAGUGGGGAAUUUUGGACAAUGGGGGCAACCCUGAUCCAGCCAUGCCGCGUGAGUGAAGAAGGCCUUCGGGUUGUAAAGCUCUUUCGGCCGGGAAGAAAUCGCACAGGUUAAUACCUUGUGUGGAUGACGGUACCGGAAUAAGAAGCACCGGCUAACUACGUGCCAGCCGCCGCUGUAAUAC